AGUAAAAGUCGUAACAAGGUCUCCGUUGGUGAACCAGCGGAGGGAUCAUUACUGAGUGUAAAAACUCCCAAAACCCAUUGUGAACAUACCACUGUUGCUUCGGCGGAUCCGCCCCGGGCGCCCCCUCUCGCGGGGGUGCCCCGGACUCAGGCGCCCGCCGGGGACCCCUAAACUCUCUGUAUUCAAACGAGUAUCUCUGAGUCUGAUUUAUACAAAUCAACAUUAAAACUUUCAACAACGGAUCUCUUGGCUCUAGCAUCGAUGAAGAACGCAGAUGCGAUAAGUAAUGCGAAUUGCAGAAUUCAGUGAAUCAUCGAAUCUUUGAACGCACAUUGCGCCCGCUAGUAUUCUGGCGGGCAUGCCUGUCUGAGCGUCAUUUCAACCCUCGCGCCCGGCUUCUUGCCGGGGCGGUGGGGGAUCGGCCGCCCGUCACUGGGAGGCCGGCCCCUAAAUGGAGUGGCGACCACGCCGUAGCCUCCUCUGCGUAGUAGUUAUACCACCUCGCAGGCGGAGAGCGGUGCGGUCCGCCGUAAAACCCCCCAACUCUUUACAAGGUUGACCUCAGAUCAGGUAGGAAUACCCGCUGAACUUAAGCAUAUCAAUA
rnacentral:rRNA from 1 species